CCUACGGGUGGCAGCAGUGGGGAAUAUUGGGCAAUGGAGGCAACUCUGACCCAGCAAAGCCGCGUGAAUGAUGAAGGUCUUCGGAUUGGAAAGUUCUUUUCUACGGGAAGCAGAAAGUGACAGUACCUUAGGAAUAAGCCUCGGCUAACUACGUGCCAGCAGCCGCGGUAAUACGGAGGAGGCAAGCGUUAUCCGGAAUGACUUGGCGUAAAGGGUGCGUAGGUGGUUUGACAAGUUAGUAGCGCAACUCCGGAGCUCAACUCCGGACGUACCACUAAAACUGUUGGACUUGAGUUGAGGAGGGGAAAGCGGAAGGCGUGGUGUAGCGGUGGAAUGCUUAGAUAUUACGAAGAACCCCAGUUGCGAAGGCAGAUUGCCAGACCCUCACUGACACUGAGGCACGAAAGCGUGGGUAUCAAACAGGAUUAGAUACCCGAGUAGUC
rnacentral:rRNA from 1 species